ACACGAAUGAAAGUCAAGCUGAAAGACUUUACUCAAUGAUGUAAGUGGUGGUGCAUGGUCGUUCGUGGUUCGUGGAUUGAUUUGUCUGGUUAAUUCCGAUAACGAGCGAGACCCUAUCGUUCCUAAUAGGGGGCUACAGCCCGAUCGGCCGAAAGGCUGGUUAGCCGUAGCUUAAGAUUAACUUCUUAGACGUAUCAGAGCCGAUAAGGUUCUUGAAAUGGGUUAAUAACAGGUCAGUCAUGCCCUUAGAUGUUCUGGGCCGCACGCGCGUUACAAUGGCAUGUAAAGCGAGUGCUUAUCGAUAGGCUAUACCUGGAUCGAAAGGUCUUGGUAAUCCAUAAUCCCUGCCUUGACUGGGAUAGAUCAUUGCAAUUAUUGGUCUUAAACGAGGAAUUUUUAGUAAUAGCCAGGUCAUUAACCUGCGCUGA
rnacentral:rRNA from 1 species